rnacentral:lncRNA from 1 species
AAAGCUCAUAGUUUCUGUUGGUUGGUUGGUUUGCCCCUGACUCCUGUCCCUCACCCAGCCUGGGUUUCUCUCUGUGGCUCUCUGAAUGUCUUCAAACUCACUCUGUAAACCAGGCUGACCCUGAUCUCCUAGCUCUGCCUGCCUCUGCCUCCCUAGUGCUGGGAUUAAAGGCAUGCACCAUCUGUUUCUUAUCCUAAACUACACCUAUAGAUGUGCUAAGGUUUGUACAGACAUCCCUUCACCGCCUAUGAGAAUAAGGAUCAGGAGUAAACCCUGCCUGCUUCUCAGGAAGAUUCAGGUUUGCCUCAGGGUAUUGCAACCACUCAACCUGGCAUGUUCUGGCCAUCAUCCUUAUGAAUGGACCCUCAAAGACAAGGCUCUCCCAGCCUGCCCUAAUAACUUGAGACACCAAACAGGUCAUGAACCAAUGGUGCCCCGAUAUUUCCUAGGCAAUAGUCAUCCCAGGACUCCAGGUCUUGGUACCCCACUGACUCCCCCCAAAGCCAGGCAAGAGGAUAGAGCACAGCACUGAAGCCACUUUGUGACCUUGUUCCCACGUCAGUGGGCUCAUGAUGUCAGAAGGCCAAAUCCAGACCCUGCACCAGGCUACGUGUUUCCAGCUCCACCCCAGAGUGUAUCCCAGUCCAGCUGUCUCUUUGGAACAGGAGUGACAGAUAGGUCCUGACGACAAGAGCAGAAAGUGGUCCGUGCAGCACAGGACACAAAUCCUCACCCUGGGAAAAGCAGCUUCCAACCUCACCCCCCCCCCAAUCCCCCAGAGGCUGGCCUAGCCACACCCUGCCACUUCUCUCCAGGCAGCAGGGCUUCCUUUCCAGAGCAGGAGGGGUGGGGUUGGGGAGGAGCCUGGGAAUUAGGGACAGACACUGAGCUUUUCAAGCAAGAACUGUUCCCCAUCUACUGCCAUCCCUCCACUAGCCCCAGCUAUGCAGGGAGCCUGGGUGCUGCUGCUGCUGCUGCUGGGCCUCAGGCUACAAUUGUCCUUUGGUGUCAUUCCAGGUAAGGAGGCUCCCCUAACUGCUUGUCCCCACUCAUAAAUACAGCCUUCCCCUGACACCUGCCUCCGGUCUCUUCUUUGACCAGUGGAGGAAGAGAACCCAGCAUUCUGGAACCAGAAGGCAAAGGAGGCCCUAGAUGUUGCCAAGAAGCUGAAGCCCAUUCGGA